AAUGAACGCUGGCGGCGCGCCUAAUACAUGCAAGUCGAGCGAGAAGACGUAGCAAUACGUUUGUAAAGCGGCGAACGGGUGAGGAAUACAUGGGUAACCUACCCUAGAGUGGGGAAUAACUAGCCGAAAGGUUAGCUAAUACCGCGUACGCUCCUUGGACUUCGGUUCAGGGAGGAAAGCGAUGCCGAGGGUAUCGCGCUCUUGGAUGGGCUCAUGUCCUAUCAGCUUGNGGUGAGGUAACGGCUCACCAAGGCUUCGACGGGUAGCUGGUCUGAGAGGACGAUCAGCCACACUGGCACUGCGACACGGGCCAGACUCCUACGGGAGGCAGCAAGUAAGGAAUAUUGCGCAAUGGGCGAAAGCCUGACGC
rnacentral:rRNA from 1 species